ACGGCUCAGUAACACGUGGAUAACCUGCCCUUGGGUCCGGCAUAACCCCGGGAAACUGGGGAUAAUACCGGAUAACGCACAUAUGCUGGAAUGCUUUGUGCGUAAAAUGGAUUCGUCUGCCCAAGGAUGGGUCUGCGGCCUAUCAGGUAGUAGUGGGUGUAAUGUACCUACUAGCCAACAACGGGUACGGGUUGUGAGAGCAAGAGCCCGGAGAUGGAUUCUGAGACAUGAAUCCAGGCCCUACGGGGCGCAGCAGGCGCGAAAACUUUACAAUGCGGGAAACCGUGAUAAGGGGACACCGAGUGCCAGCAUCAUAUGCUGGCUGUCCAGGUGUGUAAAAUACACCUGUCAGCAAGGGCCGGGCAAGACCGGUGCCAGCCGCCGCGGUAGCACCGGCGGCCCGAGUGGUGAUCGUGAUUAUUGGGUCUAAAGGGUCCGUAGCCGGUUUGGUCAGUCCUCCGGGAAAUCUGACGGCUCAACCGUUAGGCUUUCGGGGGAUACUGCCAGGCUUGGAACCGGGAGAGGUAAGAGGUACUACAGGGGUAGGAGUGAAAUCUUGUAAUCCCUGUGGGACCACCUGUGGCGAAGGCGUCUUACCAGAACGGGUUCGACGGUGAGGGACGAAAGCUGGGGGCACGAACCGGAUUAGAUACCCGGGUAGUCCCAGCCGUAAACGAUGCUCGCUAGGUGUCAGGCAUGGCGCGACCGUGUCUGGUGCCGUAGGGAAGCCGUGAAGCGAGCCACCUGGGAAGUACGGCCGCAAGGCUGAAACUUAAAGGAAUUGGCGGGGGAGCAC
rnacentral:rRNA from 1 species